GACGGAAGGUGCAAGCGUUGCUCGGAAUUACUGGGCGUAAAGGGUGCGUAGGCGGCUGUGUAAGUCUGGCGUGAAAGCCCCGGGCUCAGCCCGGGAAGUGCGCUCGAAACUAGCGCAGCUCGAGUGCCGGAGGGGAGAGGUGGGAAUUCCUAGGUUGGUAGCGGUGAAAAUGCGUAGAUAUCAGGAGGAAUACCGGUGGCGAAAGCGACUCUCUGGACGGCAACUGACGCUGAGGCACGAAAGCGUGGGGAGCAAACAGG
rnacentral:rRNA from 1 species